rnacentral:rRNA from 1 species
UACGUAGGGUGCAAGCGUUAAUCGGAAUUACUGGGCGUAAAGCGUGCGCAGGCGGUGAUGUAAGACAGAUGUGAAAUCCCCGGGCUCAACCUGGGAACUGCAUUUGUGACUGCAUCGCUGGAGUGCGGCAGAGGGGGAUGGAAUUCCGCGUGUAGCAGUGAAAUGCGUAGAUAUGCGGAGGAACACCGAUGGCGAAGGCAAUCCCCUGGGCCUGCACUGACGCUCAUGCACGAAAGCGUGGGGAGCAACCAGG